UACGUAGGGAGCAAGCGUUGUCCGGAAUCAUUGGGCGUAAAGAGCGUGUAGGCGGCCCGGCAAGUCGGUUGUGAAAGUCAAGGGCUCAACCCUUGAAUGCCGGCCGAUACUGUCAGGCUAGAGUCCGGAAGAGGCGAGUGGAAUUCCUGGUGUAGCGGUGAAAUGCGCAGAUAUCAGGAGGAACACCUAUGGCGAAGGCAGCUCGCUGGGACGGUACUGACGCUGAGACGCGAAAGCGUGGGGAGCGAACAGG
rnacentral:rRNA from 1 species